AGAUGGAAGCUAAUCUGUCCCAUGAGGAACAGCACGAGAAAAUAACAUCUUUCAUUUAUUUACAAGGAGAUAGUUUAGAUUUGGUUCAUAGCGCCCGCUGCGCAAAGCGACGGAUGAAAUCAAGGCGUUCAGAGAAUUUUAUCAUGCCUCCCGCUGCGCAAAUUUGAGCAGUUUUCUGCGUAGUGUUUUUGCGUCGUUUUGUGUCAAAAAAUACGCAAAAAAAUACGCUAGACUUCAGCCAAAACUACGAUAGCCAGCGUAUUUAUUGCAGUUUUUAGGUGCGGAACGAGCGCCAUCUGUUGAAGGAAUGGAUGAACUAUUUCAGACGGUGGAGCAAAAAAAAACGGUCGAAAAAUUCAAAAAUAUUAGCGCCCAUUCCUUCCUCCUCCUCUUCCUCUAACUCCCUUCCCCUCCCUGCCUUGCCUUAUACUUGCGCUUCAGCCCGUGCCUUUCGCCGUCAGCUGAUUGUGUGUAUGCGUUGGUGUAUAUGUACAUUGCGGUUGUGUAUUGUAAUUGGUGGGUGUUAGCAUUUAUUUAUUCGUGUGUGACCUUGACGAUGCGGGAGAAGCUGGUUCAUUUUGGGAUUUAAAGUGUUAUCGGUGUAUUGAUGGUUUAUUUUAUUUCGUGCCGCUGCAGAUGAGGCCAUUUAAUGCCCGUGCCAAUCGAGGGUGAAGAAGCCAAUUUCAAACAAGCGUACGAGAACGUCUAACACUGAUCUAAUAUUUUUUUUUUAAAUCUGAACAUGUUUGAUGCUUCAACGACCUUCUAAACAUCAUGUAGCACAGUGUAUAGUGGCAAUAAAUUUUUUUUUUUUCAAUGUGCCGGAAUUUGUCUCGAGUUUUCUGGCCACGACACACACACACGGACACACACACAGCGCGGGGAAAGUGAUCGUCCACUCUAUCAUGCCGCGAUCCCCCUCCCCUCCCGGUGCUUUGGAUGAGGAUGCGCUACAAGUUAACCCAAGUAGCAACCGAAGCUUUUUUCUCCCAGUUUCAACCCCCUCAUGUCCACAAACUGCCUUCGCUUACUAUUCCUAUCCCGUUUCUACAUUCCACAACGUUUGUUGCGUUCUCGCUCAUCAGGGUGUUAGUCAAUUCUCUCUUGCCACACGAAGAGAAUUCUCCUGCACACUUCGUGUGUUGGAUUCUACCCAUCCCUGUUGAACACACGUCAUUUUCUUCCAUCGCACUCAUCAGGGUGUUUGCUCUUUUCCAUCCAAGCCAAAGAGCGACUUCAGUGUGCUCUGAACCGUGGAUGUGAGAGUGUGUGUUUGUGUGCUGCGUGAACUAUUUUUCCUGCGUGAAACACUUUCCAUACUGCACCAUCCGCGGUGUUCUUUCUGCUUCGGAGGACGAAUUUUUAUCAUCUAAUUGUUUGGAUGUGUGCUGCUACCGCUAGCUGUUCCUCAAACUACUUAAAAAGUGUGACACUGUGUGCACAGGCGUUCAAGUUUCAAUUGAUCCUCAAGCACAAAGCCUUCAUACAACACUGCGGUUGAGGCGCGCCAAAUCUGAUGACAUCUUCUCCUGAACCAAGCAGGCUGAACACGCGCACCACCACGGGCUCCAGCGCGGUGUGAAGAGGGAAGAAGAAAAGACAGAAUUGGAAACAGCCGCACCAGGCUUCCAACCACCGUGUGUGUAUGUAAGUAUGUGAGAACACAUGUGUGAAUCCUCUUGUGGGAACUGCAAAAAGAAGAGAAUAAAGAGUGUGAAGCAGCUAGACUGCCGCAACCAAA